UCUCAUGCAAACAAGCUUGUGCCACGGGAUAUUUCUCUCCGUAUAAAGCGGCGCGCGUGGAGGGCCUGGGCUCCCUGGAGGCGCGAGGCGGCCACACGUGCCCCGUCCCCGCCGCCACGGCUCGACACGUCGGUGCAAACCCUCCGCUUUCACUCGUCAAAUCGUGUUUCUUGGCACCGUCCGCCCCACCCCUCCCAGAUUCCAGCGCUCUGCCCUGCCCUGGCCCUGCCCGGAUAAUAGCAGGAGGGACGACGCCGGAGAGCCACGAGGAGGGCGCGUAUAAGAGGGCGGAGUCCGGUGGCCAAGUGAGGAGAGCACUCGGACUCGGAGAAGAUCGGAAUCGGAGGAGGGCACGCCACCGCCGCCGCCGCCGCAGCUGCUCGCUCGAACCCCACGCCACCCGCCCCGGCGUACUGGCAGCAGAGGUUACCUGUACGAUGGAGGGUGCAUUGGCCAGUACUGUACCCAGUCUUCCAGAGGGUUAGCGUAGUGCUUCAGGAAUGACCUGGCUUUGCUGAUCCCGUCUCUUGAACUCGUGUCGUACCUGAUAGGCCUUCGGAUAUCGGUUGAUGCAAACAACUCCUUGUGCUCUGGUGAAAGUUCAAAAAAAUCCGAGGCGGCUUCAAGUGCACCCUUCAUGACAGACUUGCUGACACCGUGGUUUACCACCUGUCAUCAUCAAUACAGCGUGCAACAGUAGUUCACUGUGAUUGUCCUCGAACAAGUGUUCGAGGAUUCGGAGCAACAAGCAAGCAGCACGCACUAACCUGGAAGCAUCCCUGCUCGCGGCACGCUCGCGCAAUGUCCUGGAUGGCGAGCGCCCUCGUGGCAGGGUCCUUGCUGAGCCUGGAAAGGUUGAUCACGGGCAAUGGCCUCAACGACGGUAGCUGCAGCUGCGCAACCUGGCUCGCCAUGGAUGCUGUGCAAGUGUUUGCAAUGAAGCAGGUGCUGCAUGCCAGGAGCUGUAUUUAUAGGCCAUGCCGAAUCUCAUCGAAAAGCAGAGCUGAUACGGAGUGGUACUGCUGCCGGCCACUGUGCAAAACCCCUUUUUCUGCAACUAAGCCCUGGGCAAAUACCUUGUACGAAGACUUUUGAGCGCCCAGGCCAGGAUGCUCGUGCGUCCAGAUGAACCAAGAUCUUCCCCCCCAAGAGAAAGAUCGUUCGGUUCCUUUCGCUUGGCUUCGGCAGUGGUCACCAUCUGUGGGGUUGCGGCGGCGAGGACGCCGAAUCCACGGCAAGUUGGAGCGCCAGCCCGGCCUUGGGUUGGGGAGGUUUCCGGUUUCGGCAGCUGUAUGCUGACAAAAGGACACUUUCUUUUGGGAGGGACAUCCAUCGACACAGCCCAGGUUUUUUUUUUUGAAAAACACUGCUGAUUCAUUUAAGGAGUAGGAAGUAGUUCGUUAUUACAUAAAUAGAUUAUCUCGAUGCUCUUAAACAUUAAAAAUAACUAGGAUACACUAACCCAAUUCAGGGUUACCACACGCAUUUUGGUGCAGCUUGAUGUCCUCCUGUAUCAGAGCGAAGAUUUGUGGAGGUAGUAGACUUCUUCCUUCAAACACCAGUUUCUCUCCUUCCAUACGUUUCCACGCUGUGAACAUGAGAUAAGCAACCACCGAUCUUCCUUUUCCUUUUUCUUGGUGAAAGGCGCUAGGGCUUGUUGCCACCAAGUUUCAACAUCCACUAUGUUCGACUAUGGGGGUGUUUGGAUACGAGGUGUUAAACUU